GCCCGGAUGGUGAAAUUGGUAGACACAAGGGACUUAAAAUCCCUCGGCCGCAAGGCUGUGCGGGUUCGAUUCCCGCUCCGGGCACCA
rnacentral:tRNA from 1 species